GUCCCCACAUCUGCGUCCAUGUCAACAACAUACAGUGAGCGCUUUCCAUAGAGUCCUGACAGCUCCACAGAGAAGCAACUGUGAAGUCAGAGGGGAGAAGGAAACGGCCUGUCAGCAUCUGCAAAGCUGGGAUUCGACGUGCUGGUGGCAUCUGAACACUCACCGGGCUGCACACCGGUGAUGGAUAGGGAGUCACAGGGUACCAGAGAGCCCAGAGGUCAGACUGGCUUUACCAACAGCUCUCACUUCCAUCCCCACCACAGACAUCUCAACAGACCAGACCUCUUCAGACUACAUACGAUGGCUGAAAUCAAUUCAAUAAGCUAACGUGUUUCCUGAGUUUGGAACUCAUCAGGGUUGGUAGCAGGUCCCUUACUCACUGAGCGGUCUCUGCAGCUUCAGGAGGAAUGGUAUUUUACAGCUUGAAUCCAGACCAUCGUGAUAAGCUCCCAUCUCAGGCCUGUGUUCUCCUUGGCUAGUGGUGUGACUCUGGGAGGCAGGGUCUAGCUGGCUGACGUAGGUCACAGGGUUAUGACAUGGCCACAGCUUCCACAGCCUUCCCUGCUUCUGAAAGGACGCACAUGGGGAGUGUCAGCAGCAGGAGGGACAGGUUUCCAACACCCAGGUCAGGAUUGAUUGAGCGUCCAUUAGCAAGUCUCUUUCAUAGCCAACAUCUGCCCUGGGUGAUAGCUAACACCUGCCCUGGGUCACAGUCAACAUCUGCCCUGGGUCAUAGCCAACCCUGCCCUGGGUCAUAGUCAACAUCUGCCCUGGGUCAUAGUCAACCCCUGCCCUGGGUCAUAGUCAACAUCUGCCCUUGGUCAUAACCAACAUCUACUCUAGAUCCUGAAAGCCAAGAAUAGUUGGCUGCCUACUGCCACUCACUACAGGAUCCUUGGUCCCUGGUGAUCAUGAAGCCUGAUGAUGUCACCCUGCAGUGUGAAUUCUCCAAUAGGGAAAAAAAAAUGGACCUGAGAGUGCUAAAACCUACUUCAUUGUGGACAUGGCUGCUCCCAUCCCUGGGUGUGCUCCCAUCACUUGGGUGCUCAAGGCUUGUCUUCGUGUUCCUAGUGUUGAGUGGAGAAACACCACGACCAAAAAGCAACUUGAGUAGGGUGUGGCCUUGGUGGAAAAAGUGUGUCACUGUGGGGCUGGGCUUUGAGACCCUCCUCCUAGCUGCCUGGAAGUCAGUCUUCUCUUUGCCUUCAGAACAAGAUGCAAACCUCUCUGCUCCUCCUGCACCGUGCCUGUCUGGAUGCUACCCUGCUCCCACCUUGAUGAUAAUGGACUGAACCUUUGAACCCUAAGCCAGUCCCAAUUAAAUGUUGUCCUUUAUAAGA